AGUGAACGCUGGCGGUAGGCCUAACACAUGCAAGUCGAACGGCAGCACAGUAAGAGCUUGCUCUUACGGGUGGCGAGUGUCGGACGGGUGAGGAAUACAUCGGAAUCUACUUUUUCGUGGGGGAUAACGUAGGGAAACUUACGCUAAUACCGCAUACGACCUACGGGUGAAAGCAGGGAAUCUUCGGACCUUGCGCGAUUGAAUGAGCCGAUGUCGGAUUAGCUAGUUGGCGGGGUAAAGGCCCACCAAGGCGACGAUCCGUAGCUGGUCUGAGAGGAUGAUCAGCCACACUGGAACUGAGACACGGUCCAGACUCCUACGGGAGGCAGCAGUGGGGAAUAUUGGACAAUGGGCGCAAGCCUGAUCCAGCCAUACCGCGUGGGUGAAGAAGGCCUUCGGGUUGUAAAGCCCUUUUGUUGGGAAAGAAAAGCAGCAGGUUAAUACCCCGCUGUUCUGACGGUACCCAAAGAAUAAGCACCGGCUAACUUCGUG
rnacentral:rRNA from 1 species